GUGGGGAAUAUUGGACAAUGGGCGCAAGCCUGAUCCAGCCAUGCCGCGUGUGUGAAGAAGGCCUUCGGGUUGUAAAGCACUUUUGUCCGGGAAGAAAUCUUCCAGGUUAAUACCCUGGGAGGCUGACGGUACCGGAAGAAUAAGCACCGGCUAACUUCGUGCCAGCAGCCGCGGUAAUACGAAGGGUGCAAGCGUUACUCGGAAUUACUGGGCGUAAAGCGUGCGUAGGUGGUUCGUUAAGUCUGCCGUGAAAGCCCCGGGCUCAACCUGGGAAUGGGGGUGGAUACUGGCGGGCUAGAGUGCGGUAGAGGGUGGUGGAAUUCCCGGUGUAGCAGUGAAAUGCGUAGAGAUCGGGAGGAACAUCUGUGGCGAAGGCGGCCACCUGGACCAGCACUGACACUGAGGCACGAAAGCGUGGGGAGCAAACAGGAUUAGAUACCCCUGUAGUCC
rnacentral:rRNA from 1 species